rnacentral:rRNA from 1 species
GAUGAACGCUAGCGGCAGGCCUAAUACAUGCAAGUCGAACGGUGUCUUCGGACAUAGUGGCGCACGGGUGCGUAACACGUAUGCAACCUACCUUACAUUGGGGGAUAGCCUUUCGAAAGGGAGAUUAAUACCGCAUAAGACAGUAGCUGGGCAUCCAAGAGCUGUUAAAGAUUUAUCGAUGUAAGCUGGGCAUGCGUCCAAUUAGCUAGUUGGUGAGGUAACGGCUCACCAAGGCAAUGAUUGGUAGGGGAACUGAGAGGUCAAUCCCCCACACUGGCACUGAGAUACGGGCCAGACUCCUACGGGAGGCAGCAGUAGGGAAUAUUGGGCAAUGGACGCAAGUCUAACCCAGCCAUGCCGCGUGCAGGAUGAAGGCGUUAUGCGUUGUAAACUGCUUUUAUACAGGAAGAAACGACUCUUGCGAGAGGCAUUGACGGUACUGUAUGAAUAAGCACCGGCUAACUCCGUGCCAGCAGCCGCGGUAAGAC